UUGAUCUAUUAGGUAGUUUUUAUUUCAUGCAAUUGAGUUUCUAAGUAUUUUUUUAUUUUUGGAAGUUUAUUCUUUUUAAGUGUAAGGCCAUUGGCCAUUGUUUAUUUUCAAUGAAUGUUAAUUGAAAAGAAAGCCAAGAGCAAAUCCCCACCCCUCUCAUGGUUCUCUCUCUCUCUCAAUCUCGACUUUUCUCCCCUUCUCUCUCGCCUCUUUCUUCCCUUACUCUCUCGGCUCUCUCUUCUCUCAAUCUUCUUGUCUCGCCUCCCUCUCUUUCUUUUCAGUCUUAUUGUUUUUAUUUUUCUGCUGUUGCGUUAUACUGCUGCACCUGCUGCUGCGUUAUACUGUUGCACCUGCUGCUGCGUUAUACUGCUGCACCUGCUACUGUGUUAUACUGCUGCACCUGUUGCUGCAUUAUUACUACUGCACUUGCUGCUGCGUUAUUACUGCUGCACCUGCUGCCUUACCCCAUUGCUGCUGCAGCAUAAUUCUGCCGGUACAAAACUGCUCUGCUGCAACUGCUACCUCUACCUUACUGCUGCUGCUACGUACUACUGCAGUUACAAUAUUGCUGCCACUGCACACUGCUGCCUUUACAUCACUGCUGCUACUCUCUCUACAAUUGGCUGGGUGUAUCUUCUUCAACAAAAAGUGGACUACAACCUCUUUAUUUUGGAGAACCUGGAUUUCUUCUUCUCUCCUCAGAUCUGAAUAGCAGUAUGAUUUCAAACAUCCCUGUACAAGAAUCUGAUAGUAGUUGUAGCUCAUGUGCACACAAUGAAGACCUGAAGUAGCAAUAAGCCAAUAAGGUAUUAUCCAUGCCAUGAAACCCGACAGGUGGAACUCUAGAGGAGAGGCUUCACGUUUAUUGGAUCUAAUAUAUAAUGAACAAAAGGGACUUGCAUUUUACUUGUAACCAAUUCUAUCAAGGUUCAAAACAUUAAAGAAUUGCACAUCAUUUGAGG